ACCAAAUUGUGGCUAUAUAUGUAUAUAUAUGGAUGAAAUAUUUGGCUGCAUCAACACGAGUUUUUUUGGGCAUUCUACUCAAGGAAGAUCAUCAAGCAUGGCGAGUUUACAACCAUUUUCUUGCCGACACACAUUAUUCGGUGCAAUUUUGUUUGUUUUCAUCUUUUUGGGUAAUGCUUAUAUAUAUAGUUUUUAAGCUUUUGAUCAGGUGGGAAGAGGUGUGUGCUGUUGUUACAGGCGAUUUGCAUGCAUUCGGCUCCUGUGUCAUCAAGAAAUGGCCAGAGAUCACAGGCCCACUGCAGAUUUCAUGUUAAGGGCAUGCAAAAGAUCAAAUAGAUUUUUUUGUCGUCCCCAUGCAUCAAUAUAUAUAUAUAUAUAUAUAUAUGCCACUAGAAUGCGUGAGAUAACCCCGAACUGAUGCCCACCUUUCCUAUAAUUGAUCUCUUCACCUCUUUCAUGUAUAGAUUAUGAUCAACUUGAGUCCAGAACCAACCCACAUGGACGCGGAAUGGAUGCAUAUGCAGUCCCAUCCCAAUCUAGGUUAACGUUGAGCCUGAGCACCAAAGUCCAAAAUAUAUUUGCCCCCACCCUACAUGUGUUACGCAGCUUCCGCGAAGCUUCGUCUUUCUACCUCAGCAUUACCGGACGGUUCUGUACGGACAGUUGCUAUAUGUGUAUUUUUUUCACUUCCAUAUGAUAUAUAUAUAUAGCAGCUGAAAAACACAUAUAUAUAUAUAUGUAUGUAAUUUGUGGUGUCAAAGUGUAAAUAUGAUUCUGAAAGUGUAUAACUUGAUUGCUUGGUCGAAGUCCUGAUCUACUCUUCAGAACGUUGAAACGUCAACCUUGUGGUAGUCUUUUGGGGAUUAAUGCAGUUGAUCACGCAAUACUGGAAAA